GGCUCUAGAUGACAUAAUGAAAAUAACCCCUAGUUGCAGCUCCACUGCAUAGGCCCCCAGGAACAGUGGUGCCGGUGCUCAGCCCCAGACUGCACAAGUGGAUGAGAGUCUAUGACUACCCCUGGACUAAGAUUUACAGGUGGGUGGACUAAGCAGGUGCAGAUUAAAUUGUCUUAUCCAGGAACACAGGUGGGUAGUGUGACCGAGAAUCAAACUCAGGUCGACAUAUUGGUACCUCAUCUCAUAUCCCACCGAUCUAUCUGCUCUGCAGGUGGCAUAGUUGGAAUACAGGUUAGGGAAUAAAAUGGAUGUUCCACCUUGGCACUUGUUAGGGAAUAAAAUGGAUGUUCCACCUUGGUAAAAGGAUGCACCCUCCUGAGUGCAAAUCUCAUUUAAAAAGGCUUCUUUUUUCUUUUUUUGAUGGUGUGAGGGUAAACUGUAGAACUUGGAGGAAACCCACACAAACACUGAGAGAACACACAACAUCCACACAGAAAGAAAGUGGGCAAUAUUGGAACUGAACCCAUGACUGUCUUGCUGAGUGACAAGAAGGCUAAUUCCUGUUCCACCAGGCUCCACUGAGCUCCUACAAGUGGUUGGACCACUGUGGAACAUGGUAUGGCUAACACC